CUGUCUUACUUAUAAAAAUUGAAUUUAACUUUUAAGUGAAAAGGCUUAAGUAGUAGAAAGGGACGAUAAGACCCUAUAAAACUUUAUAUAAAAUAAAUUUUUUAUUAUAGUUGUUUGUUUAGUAAGAAACAAUUUAUUAGUAUUUUAUUGGGGCGAUAGGAAUAUAAGAAGUAACUGUUCUUUUUAAAAAACAGAUAUAAUUGAUUGAUAGGAUCCUUGCUAGAGAUUAGAAGGUAAAGUUACUUUAGGGAUAACAGCGUAAUUUUUUUUAAGAGUUCAUAUCGACAAAAAAGAUUGCGACCUCGAUGUUGAAUUAAAAUUUCUUUAUGGUGCAGGAGUUAUAAGAGAAAGUCUGUUCGACUUUUAAAAUUUUA
rnacentral:rRNA from 1 species